rnacentral:tRNA from 1 species
GCCUGGCUAGCUCAGUCGGUAGAGCAUGAGACUCUUAAUCUCAGGGUCGUGGGUUUGUGCCCCACAUUGGGCG